UCCAUAGAAGGGGCUGGAAGGAAGACGAGAUGGAGAGAGGGAAGAAGAGGGAAAAGGAGGAAGGAAGGGAGUGAAAGGGGAGAGGGAUGGGAAGUUGGUUAGUGGGUUAGUUAGUUCAUGACCCUGCUAAAUAGCAACACAGUCCAGUAUGGGUGGCAGUGACUUGUGGACCUUGUUGGGUCUCCAAGCAGGAGAAACCCAAGAGGAAUACCCGUGACCAAGAGCAGAUGUGAACAAAGGACCUGCAUCCAGAUAAUGAGGCCAUUGUUCCCCCUUAAGGACCUUUGGCUUUGCAGGGCUGUGUGGAGAGCCCCAGCUAUUUUUCCUCCAAGACAGAUUAACACAUUGGAUGUCUACCCUCUGCCGGGGGCUGCACUAAGGAGGAGAAUAUUCCUCCAACCAGUUGGGAAGGAGUCUCUGCUGGGGACCAGGGGAGGGGGUGCAAUGAGAAUCAGGAUAACAAGAACAUCUUACGACAAAGAGCUGGUAUAUGGACUGCAUGUGGGGUCAGGAAGGGGAAGUCUCACAACGAUGGUGUCAAGAAGAAAGGCGUGUUGUUACCCAAGCUUUUUAAUAUCUUCAUUGAACAAAAGGGAUGGACAAAUGUAUAAGGUGACCAACACCUACCAGGAUGAGCACGUCUAACUUGCUCCAGCCACACAGCUUUCCUUGCAACUCUCCUACUACGUAGAAGAUGUGGGAGGCAAUCCCUCAGAAUUGUCCAGCUCUAAAGGAGACUGGUCACCAUUCACAGGAAGGUGGAUAUAGCUGGAGACAGUCAUGUUAAGCAAAUUAAGUCAGUUUCAAAAAUACAAGUUUUUUUCCCAUUUGUGGUUAGAUUUUAUAGAGAAGCACAAAGUCGUAUGUAUACACAGGACAUGAAAGUAGACACAAAACUGUUUAGGGUAACCUAGAGGACAAAUGGGAUUGUGGAAGGAGGAAAGGGAGGGGAGUGGGCAGACUUGGGGCACAUAUACUCAAAGCACGUUAUAUCGUUGUCAGGGUGCCUUAUAUAAUCCAAUACCUCAUACAAUAAAACAUAGAGUUUAACAAUAAAAACCAAUUGAAAAAGGAGACACACUGGA